AGUGAACGCUGGCGGUAGGCCUAACACAUGCAAGUCGAACGGCAGCACAGUAAGAGCUUGCUCUUACGGGUGGCGAGUGGCGGACGGGUGAGGAGUACAUCGGAAUCUACUUUUUCGUGGGGGAUAACGUAGGGAAACUUACGCUAAUACCGCAUACGACCUACGGGUGAAAGCAGGGGAUCUUCGGACCUUGCGCGAUUGAAUGAGCCGAUGUCGGAUUAGCUAGUUGGCGGGGUAAAGGCCCACCAAGGCGACGAUCCGUAGCUGGUCUGAGAGGAUGAUCAGCCACACUGGAACUGAGACACGGUCCAGACUCCUACGGGAGGCAGCAGUGGGGAAUAUUGGACAAUGGGCGCAAGCCUGAUCCAGCCAUACCGCGUGGGUGAAGAAGGCCUUCGGGUUGUAAAGCCCUUUUGUUGGGAAAGAAAAGCAGCAGGUUAAUACCCCGCUGUUCUGACGGUACCCAAAGAAUAAGCACCGGCGAACUUCGU
rnacentral:rRNA from 1 species